rnacentral:sRNA from 1 species
UUCGACUAAGGUUCGACUUGAGCGCCAGCGAGAGAGCGUUGCCGCAGGCAACGACCCGAAGGGCGAAGCGCGCAGCGCUGAGUAAUCCUUCCCCCACCACCA